rnacentral:rRNA from 1 species
GAUGAACGCUGGCGGCGUGCCUAACACAUGCAAGUCGAGCGGACAGACGAGGCUUUUGCUCCGCUGACGUUAGGGGCGGACGGGUGAGUCACACGAGUAUACCCUACCUAUAUGACUGAGAUCACCUCGGGAAAGCGGAUCUAACACCGGAUAAGAUCUUGAACCGCAGGGUUCAUUGGAGAAAGACGGCUGUGCUGGCACUAAUCGAUGGUUCCGGGCCGCUUGAGCUAGUUGGUACGGUAACGGCCUUCCAAGGCGACCAUGCGUAGCCGACCUGUGAGGGUGAUCGGCCACACUGGAACUGAGACACGGUCCAGACUCCUACGGGAGGCAGCAGUAGGGAAUCUUCGGCAAUGGGCGAAAGCCUGACGGAGCCACGCCGCGUGAGUGAUGAAGGUCUUCGGAUCGUAAAGCUCUGUUAUUAGGGAAGAACAGCUGUGUACUUAAACAUGCCCGUCUUGACGGUACCUAAUCAAAAAGCCCCGGCUAACUACGUG